UACGUAGGGUCCAAAGCGUUUAUCCGGAAUCACUGGGCGUAAAGGGUGCGUAGGCGGUUUGGUAAGUCUUAUGUGAAAUCUAUGGGCUCAACUCAUAGUCUGCAUGAGAAACUGCCGGGCUUGAGUAUGGGAGAGGUGAGUGGAAUUCCUGGUGUAGCGGUGAAAUGCGUAGAUAUCAGGAGGAACACCUGUGGCGAAAAGCGGCUCACUGGACCAUAACUGACGCUGAUGCACGAAAGCUAGGGGAGCAAACAGG
rnacentral:rRNA from 1 species